AUACGGAGGGGGCUAGCGUUGUUCGGAAUUACUGGGCGUAAAGCGCGCGUAGGCGGCCUGUCAAGUUGGAUGUGAAAGCCCGAGGCUUAACCUCGGAACUGCCCUCAAUACUGCCAGUCUUGAGUUCGAGAGAGGUGAGUGGAAUUCCUAGUGUAGAGGUGAAAUUCGUAGAUAUUAGGAAGAACACCAGUGGCGAAGGCGGCUCACUGGCUCGAUACUGACGCUGAGGUGCGAAAGCGUGGGGAGCAAACAGGAUUAGAUACCCCAGUAGUCC
rnacentral:rRNA from 1 species